rnacentral:rRNA from 1 species
GACGAACGCUGGCGGCGUGCCUAAUACAUGCAAGUAGAACGCUGAAGGAGGAGCUUGCUCUUCUGGAUGAGUCGCGAACGGGUGAGUAACGCGUAGGUAACCUGCCUGGUAGCGGGGGACAACUAUUGGAAACGAUAGCUAAUACCGCAUAAGAGUAGAUGUUGCAUGACAUUUGCUUAAAAGGUGCAAUUGCAUCACUACCAGAUGGACCUGCGUUGUAUUAGCUAGAUGGUGGGGUAACGGCUCAACCAGGCGACGAUACCGAGCCGACCUGAGGGGGGUGUCGGCCCCACUGGGACCUGGACAACGCCCAGGCUCCUUCGGGAGGCAGCAGUAGGGGAACUUCGGCUAUGGGCGGAAGUCUGACCGAGCACCGCCGGGGGGGUGAAGGAGGUUUUCGGGUCGUAAAGCUCUGUUGUGAGGGAAGAACGGGUAUGAGAGUGGAAAGUUCACACUGUGACGGUACCUUAACAGAAAGCGACGGCUAACUACGUG